AUUAACAAUAUUUGGUUUAAGCUGAUGACUUCCAAGUGAGCACUAAUUAGCCCAGUAGGUUGAAAAGCCAUUGCUGAUGUCCAUUUUUCAAGUGGACAGGCUUUUCUGUCUGAGACAGGAGGCUCCCAGGCUGGCCUGGCAGAGGGCUCUGCAGCCACUCAGCCUGAGUUCAGAUCCCAAUUCUUAUUAGCUGUGUGACCAGGGUGCCUUCCCAGCCCUCUCUGCACCAGUUUCUUCAUCUGUAAAAUGGGAACAAUGAUAGUAGCACCUACCUUGCAGGUAUUAACUCUAAGUGAGUUAACACAUAUAAAGUGAGUUGAGCAGUACUUGGCACAGAGUGGGAGUUUUGACUAAGUUUGGGGGUACAUAGGGGUAGUCCCAGGAAUUUGUAUUUUAACAGGCUCUCCUGGUGAUUCCAUCUGCAGGUGUUAUUUAACCACACUGUGUCAAGACCCAGCGAAACUGAACUUGCCUAUUCACAGUGCAGGGCCCUGCUUUGUAAGUUACCACUCACCAUGCAAAGAAAUACCUGGUGAGCUCCUGAUCCCUGAUGCUGGUGCCCUCUGGAUAGCCAGCUGGGCACGGCCAGCCGUGAGCAGGAGGGAAUGAUGUCCUGGCCCUGACUGGCCCUCUUGGCAGGGCUUCUUCAAUGGUAGAAUGCAAUCCAAAUGUUUCCUGGCAACAUGGUGGCAACAGAGGUGAUGGGCGGAGCAUCUUGGCCAGGAUACAGAGCCGCCUGCAGCCUGUAGGUAGGUGAUGCUUCCCAACACCACAAGUUGGCCAGAGCCGGGCCCUGACAAAAAGAUAAUCUGCAGAAGAGCCCACAGCAAACAGCCAGGUCCACAGGGAGCAGCAUCUGUUCACGGCGGGCAAGAGUGUGGCCUCACGUCUGGGAAAGGUGGAAGGUUGAGAACUAAGACCAAGACAGGCCCCGACUGGAAGAACAGAGGCAAGUAGGCAGGAAGAAGGAGGAGAGAAUCCUUGUCAGAGGAAUCAGGGUCAACAAUCCAUCUGGAGGGACUUAAUUGUCCCCAGCCCUCAGCUCAGCAUUGCUCGUGAAAAUGGAGGCUGCCCCUCAAGUGGACAUUGAGUGGCUGCAACUGCUAGAAGGAGGUAGCAUACAGGAGUCAGGACCCCAUUAGGACAUAGCCCACGGACAGCUGGGGUUGUUUUGUGUUUUUCCGGUUUGUCUGGAUUUUUUUUUUUUUUGAGACAGUCUUGCUUCAUCACCCAGGCUGGAGUGCAGUGGCACGAUCUCAGCUGACUGCAACCUCUGCCUCCUGAGUUCAAGCAAUUCUCACGCCUCAGCCUCCCAAGUAGCUGGAAUUACAGGCACCCACCACCAUGCCCAGCUAAUUUCUGUAUUUUUAGUAGAGACAGGAUUUUGACUUGUUGGUCAGGCUGGUCUCAAACUCCUGGCCUCACGUGAUCCGCCUGCCUCAGCCUCCCAAAGUGCUGGGAUUACAGGUGUGAGCCACCACUCCUGGCCAAGGGGAGCUGUUUCACAAGCAAGUCACAAAUUCCAGGAAUGGCAACUACCACCAUUAAAUUUGGAGGCACUUAGUAGGUGUCAGACAUACUGUUAGACCCUCUAUACCAACCCCAUAAACUAAGCUUCAAUGUCAGAAGCAGAAGAGCUCUAAUAGUUAGGAGUGAGGACUCUGGAGCCAAAAAGUCUGGUUCAAAACCCAGCUCUGCCACUUGCUAGCUAUGUGACUUUGGGCUCAUUUCUUAAUUUCUCUGAUCCUCAAUUGCCCAUCUGUAAAAUGGGUAUGACAAAAGGAGCUCCUGCCUCAGCUGUUGUGAAAGUAAAUGAGAUGAUUCAUAUAAAGCGCCAAGCAUAGUACCCAGCACCUAGGAAGGAAACAGAACAAUGCUGCUGUCACAGGGUCAUUGUUGCUAUUAUUAUUCCUUUUGCUUGGGUUCUCAAGGCUGAGCUCACAUGGCCCUGUCAGGGGAGGAAGAGGAGCAGAGAGGUAGGCAAAUUGGUGCUCCUUGAACCCAUGGGAUCUGAGCCCCCAGAAAAGAAACUGCUUUAAACAAUAUCUUAUGUCUGUUUCCCUCUGCCCAUACUUUAGAGACGUCAGGAACACACUGCAAACUGCCUUUCACAUUUCACACCUCCAGGCAAUAGUAACAGCCAGACUUUCCUUGAAUAUUCUUCCAUGAAGACUGCAGAAGACAAGGGUCUUUCUUUGGAAAAUAACAAUAAUACUUCACUAGAAUGUCAAUAAUAAUUAAGCUGGGGGUGUAUAGGGAAGAAAUAAAAGCAACAUCCCUCAAGGGUUAUAUUAUUUCUAAUGUGCAAAUCUUUGCACACGUGACCUCUCUGCCCCGGUGUGCUAUCGAUGUACACCCAUCAAGGCUUAAGGUAAAGAACCACCACACCCGAUUAUAUGUGUAAUGUGGCUGCACCCUUUUGGGCUGAGGGCAAAAAACAUCUUACGCAAAUAUCAUCAUUGCGCAAAGGCAAAUGUAAAUGUAUAGGGAGAAGGAGCUCUUUGGGGAUGGGCGGUCAUGCUGGUGGAUGUGAGGAAACAGCAAAAUAACUGAAAGGAAAGAGAAGACAUCUGAAUGAGGUCUUCAGAGUUAGGACACGCAAAGGCUGGCGCCUGGUGCAUGGCGAUGGAUACGUUAGAGGAUGGGAUGAAAGGGGGAGUGAUGAUGGGUCAGACGCACUGAUCCAUCAUGAGGAAGGACCACGAGCCUGGGAGAGCAGGUUGCUUCAGGGUUGACCCCCAGGGCUGCCAUUUCCCAGGGUGAUUUUGAGCAGGUACCUACUUAACUUGGCAAUGCCUUAGAAACCUAGCCCAG
rnacentral:lncRNA from 1 species